rnacentral:rRNA from 1 species
CGAUGAACCUCUUUCGGGAGGGGAUUAGUGGCGAACGGGUGAGUAACACGUGGGCAAUCUGCCCUGCACUCUGGGACAAGCCCUGGAAACGGGGUCUAAUACCGGAUAUGACCAUUGGGGGCAUCCCUGGUGGUGGAAAGCUCCGGCGGUGCAGGAUGAGCCCGCGGCCUAUCAGCUUGUUGGUGGGGUGAUGGCCUACCAAGGCGACGACGGGUAGCCGGCCUGAGAGGGCGACCGGCCACACUGGGACUGAGACACGGCCCAGACUCCUACGGGAGGCAGCAGUGGGGAAUAUUGCACAAUGGGCGAAAGCCUGAUGCAGCGACGCCGCGUGAGGGAUGACGGCCUUCGGGUUGUAAACCUCUUUCAGCAGGGAAGAAGCGAAAGUGACGGUACCUGCAGAAGAAGCGCCGGCUAACUACGUGCCAGCAGCCGCGGUAAUACGUAGGGCGCGAGCGUUGUCCGGAAUUAUUGGGCGUAAAGAGCUCGUAGGCGGCUUGUCGCGUCGGUUGUGAAAGCCCGGGGCUUAACCCCGGGUCUGCAGUCGAUACGGGCAGGCUAGAGUUCGGUAGGGGAGAUCGGAAUUCCUGGUGUAGCGGUGAAAUGCGCAGAUAUCAGGAGGAACACCGGUGGCGAAGGCGGAUCUCUGGGCCGAUACUGACGCUGAGGAGCGAAAGCGUGGGGAGCGAACAGGAUUAGAUACCCUGGUAGUCCACGCCGUAAACGUUGGGCACUAGGUGUGGGCGACAUUCCACGUCGUCCGUGCCGCAGCUAACGCAUUAAGUGCCCCGCCUGGGGAGUA